UCAGAGUCAACCGACGAUAUUAUGGCUUCCAACUCUUGCUUCCGUCGUUGCAGGUUAGUUGUAAGAUUAGUCUCUAGCUCUGCUUUUCUUGUUUCAGUCCAUGUAAUGAAAAAUGCACAUUCAUGGGAAACAGAACACAUUCCACAAAGGACACUGCAAUUACUACUAGACAAGGUUGAGAUUUCUAACCUCGAUGCGAUCUGUUCUGCAGGUAAUAAGCUUCUCUUUAAGGGUCUUUUAUUUCAGGGUUGAGUUGGGAUAGUUCACAUUUUUCCUCUGGUGUCAAGUGAACAAUGAGCUCUGUGCCCAUCUCAGCUGGUUUCAUGACCAUACCGGCAUUAAGCUGAUCUAUUUGAUUCCGGACAUCUGCAAGUGAUUUUUCCUAUAAAUUGGGUCCAUUGAAAGAGGAAUAAGAAUACUAACACCAAUAAUGUAAUGGAUGCUAAAGAAAGGAUAAUCUGCCAGUGGUAAGGUAAGGGUGACUUGACAGUCUAAAUGUACCUUAUUUUCAAGAGCCUUGGAAAUGAAUUGUUUCUGCUUAUUAGCAUUAGCUAUGUCGUGCUUAAGCUGUUCCAACUCUUAUUUAUCAUGAGCCCGCUUGGCAUCAAUUUUCUGCUGCUCAGAGACGCGUUCAGUUAUUCUCUGGUCCAUAUGUGGAUCAAUUUAGCGAAAACAAAGUAGACAAUAAUAGAUGGAUGUAAUUUAAGCUAAGGAAUUAAGGAAACAUCUGAGGAACUCUUCAAAAGAUAUUUUAGCAGUCAAGAGUUCUACUGUUCAACAAUCAAACACCGAGCCUUAUUUAUUUACUAAAAUUUUAGGAGUAAGAUAGCCUGAGGGAUGUAUUUACACAUUUUUCACGACUAUUGACAAGAAAUCAUUCCCCAGUUUUACAAUUAAAUGAAAGCAUAAACUAAAAGCACUCGUUCAAAAUGAAUUUUUUUAAAAAAAAAAAUAGUGAAAAAGGAUAUCUUGUAGCAUAAAUCUGACCUUUUGAAGUUCUUCUUCCUUAAUGUUAAUAGAUUUUGUAUUCUGCAUAAUUAUGCUCAUAAACUUCAACUUUGAGCGUCGAUGGUCAUAAAAGCCCCCCGUCAUACCACCUUUCUUGCUUACUUGAUCACCUGAUCAGUAGUAAGUUGUUAAGGCAUCUCGAUCACAUAUGAAGGUCAUUGUGUGAAAUAAAAAAUAAGAUUUCUAUGCUAACCAUCACAGUUCUGCAGUCCAAACCAUCAGUUCGGGCAACUCUUGUGGCCACAUCCAAAUCUCGACAGAUCACAGUUCUAGCAAAUACCUGGAGAAAAAGAAAGAAUAAGUAGCAAUAUAAGCAUGCAGCACAUCCCAUAUACACCACUGCAGGAGUCGUAUCAACAUCAUAACAGUUUUAGCUCAUGCAAAUUUUCAAAACGUUUGAACACAUUUAUAUACAAGACCAAUGGCAUCAAUAACAUUUCACAAUCCAAGAACAAACCAGUCAAAUAAUUUAAGUAUGCACAAAUAUCACAUCAGGGAAAAAGUGUUUCACUGCACAAGUCUAGCACUGUGGUUGGGGGUGGACGACAGUAGCAUAUGUGUAGGAUAAUUAGAAAUAUGAACCUUAAACAAGAAUCUACUGUGGUUGAGAAACUUGGAGUGAGUAAAUAAUUUUGUAAUAUAAAAAGGAUUUUGCUUUUGUCAAUGCAAUGGAGUAAUAUGAAAAAUAAUUCCGUAAGAAAAAAAGGAAAGGAAUAUUAGUACUUGCAGGGCUCUAAACUAUGACUAUGACUAUGGCUUGGCUAUGCACACGCAUGCCUUCCAUACACAUACAUGGAUGGAGACAAAAAAAAAAAAAAAUACUAAACGUCAUUUUUAUUUCUUUUCUGAAAUAAUGGAAGUAAUAACAAUGAUGAAGGUAGUAAAUAAGGGGUGAAUAAAUAAUAUAAUAUAAUAUAAUGAAACCGUAGGAGCGGCUGGGAGUUCGGAUCCAUUAUUAACUGUUAUAACAGAAUUUAUUAUUACUUCUGCUUCUACUCCUUCUGCUCUAUUGCCAACGUUACCAUUAAACUGAUUAUUAUUUUCAUACAUAUUGCAUCCUUCACUUUAUAGCCUUCGCUUACUUUUUACAGUUAGUGCCGGUCACUAUCCAUCCUUAGUACAAGCUUCUCCCUACAAGCUUCAACACCGGGCCCAUUGGCCACAAGGUCUGCUUACUUACCGUUUAGCGAUAUAAUCAAAGAAGUCUUUUUUUGUACUGCGUUGAUUAGUGUUCCAAAACAGAAGAAAUACAAACUUAUUUGAUUGAAAUUGAAGAAAUAAAGAUAGAAACAUAUAAUAAAUUUAUAAGAUUUUAUUCUUUCAAAACAAAAUUAAAAUUAUGUACAUUAAAACUAAAGAAACGUCCCUAUAAGAUUAAUCAUCUUUUUAAACUAAAUGACUUUUUGAUCGCGGAGAUCUUAUCCAUAUAUAGUUAUCUAAACUCAUAUGAAUUUUCUACAUAAAAAUAUGGACGGUUCAUCACACCCAUGAUUUCACAUAUUCCGAUAGAAUUAAAGUCAGAAUCAGUUAACAAAACUAUUCAAAUUCUAUUAAAAAAAGGUGUCACAAUCACUCACCAAGUGUAACGCCACUACUAUUAUAAAACCAAAUACUUACUCCUCAUUUUAGUCAACAAAUUGCAAGUGAUCACCUCUGUCACUCAUACUAGGUUUUGGAUGAGUAAGCACUAGUUGAUGUUGUUACAAAAGGUACGAGGAUGUUGUUUAUAUUUCUGUGAAAUAAUUCGCUUUAUUCUUAAAUCAAUUAUAUAUGUGUGUGUGUGCGCGUGAGAAAUAAUUCGCUUUAUUUUUAAUGAACUCUAUAUGUAUAUAUAUAUAUAUAUCUUUUGAUAGUUUUGAAGUCUCUAAGAGUUUCUUCAAAGGCAAGAAGAUGUCAAGGAUUUCAAUCCCUAUAUAGUGGGAUUUCUCCAGCUAUGCUGUCUUGCAACUAUGAUUCAAGCUAAAGGAGAUUACAUAAAAUACAAAGACCCGAAACAACCGACUAACAUACGAAUAAAGGACCUAAUGAGUCGAAUGACAUUAGCAAAAAAGAUUGGUCAGAAGACAUAGAUAGAGCGAUCUGUUGCAACUGCUGAUGUCUUGAAGGAUUACUCUAUUGGCAGCAUAAUAAGUGGUGGAGGAAGUGCCCCUCACUUUAACGCCAAAGCUCAAGAUUGGAUUCAUAUGAUUAAUGGAUUCCAAAAUGUUUCACUCUCUAGUCGUCUUGGAAUUCCUAUGAUUUAUGGGAUUGAUGUUGUUCACGGGCACAAGAAUAUUUAUAAGGCCACCAUAUUCCCUCAUAACGUGGGUCCUGGAGCCACAAGGUAAGAUAUCAUUUACCUUCCGAAAUUAUGUUUUUGAUUUCGAGAGUAUUACAUGUUAGUUAUCACCUUUUCUUGUUCCAAAGAAUUUAGAGAGUUUUAUGUAACGUUUUGAAUUAAAAAAAUAGGGAAAGGCAACUAAGCUCUUGGAGGCUUAAAGAGUGGGUAAAAUUAAAUGAGAGGUAUUGUGGUAAUUGAAUAAUAGUUGAUAAAUAUAAAUAUGAAGUAAAAAAAAAGAGGGAUCUGAAAUUUUAAGAGAGAACCGGCAGGAGUGAAGUGAGAAAGAAGAAGAAGAGAAAAGAAGGAAAUUAGAAGGGAAAUAGAAAGGAGUUGGAGGAAACAAGUAAAAAAGGUAAGAUUAUGUUUUAAUGUGUAUAAUAUGUUUUCUUUUAGCUUUAAAUUUCUGUUUUGAUUGAACGUUAGGGUUUUUAAAAUUUGUGUUUUGGGUUAAUUGAUGAAUUAAUUUGAAUGUUAUAAGGUUGAUUGUUGUGGGUAAUUGAUUAUUUAGUUGAUUAUGGAAGAUUGUGAUGAUUUUGAGUUAUGAAUUGUGUAAAUGGUGAAAUUUGUGUUAGAAAUCAGGAGAUAACAGUAGGUAAUCUGUGAAAAUUCUGUGUUUGAGGUUGAAGAUGACAAAAUUUCGGUUUGGUCCCUCAAUUUGUGAAAAUUACAGUUUAGUCCCUAAACUUUGGAAAAUUACAGAUUGGUCCCUGGAGCAUAUUCCAAGAUUCUGAACAGAAUAAAAGAUGAAUUAUGGGCAGAAUUCCAGUAGAGUUAUGAAUUUUUAACACUUUCAAUUUGGUCCUCCAAUUUGACAAAAAUUACAAUUUGACCCUAAAAAUUAUUUAAAAUUCCAGAAUGGUCCUUGUAGCAUAAUUAGAGGUUCUGGACAGAAAUGAGUAUGAAUUAUGGACAUAAUUCCACUAUAGUCAUGAAUUUAUGAUAUUUUUAGUUUGGUCCUCCAAUUAGAUGAAAAUUACAAUUUGGCCCUAAAAAUAUGAUAAAAUUCAGAUUGGACCCUAGUUGUAAUAUUGGCUUUUUCAGAUUGGUUUGAUGAAUAAUUGAGGGUUAUUUAGUGAAUUAUUACCAAGUUUAUUAUUUGUUUUAUUAUGGAUCAGAUUUCGGGAAAACCAUUAAAUUUUGGGUUUUUGAGAAAAUUGACUAGUUAGUUAAAAAACAUAUAGGGUUACGGAAUAUACCCUUAGAUAAAUGUAUUAAAUAGGUUAUAUGUUCUUUUGAGUCAUUUUUGAAUAUGUCUCCUUUAUAUUCAGAUAAUCCUGAUAUUCUACCGGCGGGACGUUAGUAAGAUUUCCUUCGGUAUCUGCUUUGAGUUUUGUUUGCUUUCGAGUCAGGGGAGUGGAUAAUUUUCAAUAUGCAUGAGAAAUAUUAUAAAUAUUUGAUUUGUUAAUAUGAAUUGGAUCGUGCUUCUUGAUAAUACAUAUGUUGAUUAUUAUCCUUAUUAUGAUAAAACAUGAUCAAUUGUUGAAUCUGAAUUCUUGAUAUGAACCAGUAUAUAUUUUGAAUUGACUUCUGAAUUGAUAGCUCCUCAUUUGAUUGAUGUCAUGAGUUGAGUCUUGAGAUAUAAAUAUGUCUGUUUGAUUAUGAUUAUGAACCUAUGGUAUGUCAGUCAGAAUACCCAUACUAACAGGGUAGUGUUAGUCUUUGUGCACAUCGUAUCUGAACCCUAGUUGGUCGGGGGAGUCACCAACCUGUGUGGACUGAUCAUCCCAUAGUACGAAGCCUCAUGCUCAUUGCAUUUUGAUUUUCUGACGAGUUUUACCAUAUGAUAUUCUUGUUAUGGUCUAUUUGAGAAACCUUUCUAUAAGAACCUAGAGCCAUACUUGUAUAUAUACUUUUCAUUGUUGUAUUACCUCGUGUGUGUGUGUGUGUAUUGAACGUUAUCUACUCGUUGAGUUGUUGAACUCACCAUCUCAUUAUUUAUUCUUUUCAGGCUUAUAGCUUGAUAGUAGGUCAUUUUUGUUGGACCUUCAGAACCUGCUUUUUUGGUUGUAAUUUGUACCUUUCCAUUUAUGUCUAGUUAGUGCUCCAAAACUCUAAAUUUAUAUGAACUCUUGUAUUAAGACAAUCGAAUUAUAUUAUGAAGUUUAUUCUGUUAUUAGUGUUGUGUUGAACUCUGAUUGAGUUGUUUAAAGGAUAAGUUUGUAUGUAAGUUUGGGUUUGCAUAGGUAUGGAACCUUGGAGGGGAACCUUGCCUAUGUGCCGGUCAUGGAUCUGGGAUUCGGGUCGUGACAUUUUACAUGAACAUGGUUUAUUGAACGAAAACUGUCUAGACCAGGACCGUGACCAAGUUUAUGCAAUAAAAAAAAAAGAUAUGCCUUUUUUUUUCAUAUAUAUAUAUUUGUGAUCUUAACAAUUCUUUAUUUCAGGGAUCCUGACAGGAUUGGAGCAGCAACUGCUCUUGAAGUUAGGGCUACUGGCAUUCCUUACGUUUUUGCUCCAUGCAUUGCGAUACGUAGUGAUCUAAAAGAAAGUUUGAAUCUUUGAUCAUAUCUCUGAGAUUAGGAUUUAUUUAUCUAUCGUUAUAAAACAUUAAUCAUCGGAUAACAAACAGGUUUGUAGAGAUCCUAGAUGGGGUAGGUGCUAUGAGAGCUAUAGUGAGGAUCCUAAAGUUGUUGAAAUGAUGACAGAGAUUAUACCUGGAUUGCAAGGUGAUGUUCCUCCAGAUUCCAGAAAGGGUGUUCCCUAUGUUGGUGGAAAGUAAGUGUGACUUAAUUUAAACAUCAAUAUAUAUAUAUAUAUAUAUAUAUAUAUAUAUAUAUAUAUAUAUAUAUAUAAUUUAAUGUUUAACCUUGUUACAGGGACAAAGUUCCAGCCUGUGCGAAGCACUUUGUUGGCGAUGAGGGCACCACCAAAGGCAUUAACGAGAAUAAUAUUGUUAUUGGCUACCAUGGAUUGAUGAGCAUUCAUAUGCCAAGUUAUUUUCACUCCAUUAUCAAGGGUGUCUCAACUGUUAUGGCUUCUUACUCAAGCUAGAAUGGACAGAAGAUGCAUGCCGAUCGUUACCUUGUUAAGACUGUUCUCAAGGAUAUCCUCAAGUUCAGGGUAUUCUGAUGUUGUUGAUUAAAUUAUGUAUCUAAAACUAAGUCAUAAAAUAUUAUGAAAAGCAAACAAUUCUAACCUUUUGCUUUCAUUUUUUGAACGUCACAGGGUUUUGUCAUCUUUGAUUGGAAGGGUAUCGACAUGAUUACUUACCCACCUCAUUCAAACUACACAGAAUCAGUUCUGAAAGGAAUUUCAGCCGGCAUUGACAUGGUUAGUUGAUUCCUACCUCUCUAUUCUCAAAGACUAGCAGAAACUUGCCUAUUCUUGUCAAACAAAAUGUUUUUUAUUCUGGUUGAUUAGAGCUGCUGCUUUUCUUGACAUUGAAGCUUUAACAUGUGUGUUUCAGAUCAUGGUUCCAUACAACCAUACUGAGUUCAUCAAUAUUGUGAUUGACUUAGUAAAUAAUAAUUACAUUUCCACGGACCGUAUUGAUGAUGUUGUCAAGAGGAUUUUGCGAGUGAAAUUCACUUUAGGUCUAUUUGAGACUCCCUUAGCUGAGGAGACCUUGGUUGACCAGCUCGGAAGCCAGGUAGCUUUAUAUGUCUGAAUCUAAGCAUUCCUUUCCCAUUUCAGGAGAUUACUUAUUUGUCUGAAAACUUGCCACUUGUUAUGAAAACAAACUCACAGAGAUUUGGCAAGGGAAGCUGUGAGGAAGUCACUUGUGUUGUUGAAGAAUGGAGAGAAUGCAGAUGCUCCAGUUCUACUCCUCCUUAAAAAAGCCUCCUUGUAGUUGGAAGCCAUGCUAAUAAUUUAGGCUAUCAAUGUGGAGGAUGGACUGCAACUUAGCAAGGAGUUGAUGGCAACAAUUACACUGCUGGUAUAAUUAAUAUGCUUCUCUUUUUUGCUUCCAUUUCAAGCACGAUUCUCUUGAAUUCAAGUAUAAUAUAUAGUAGCAGUAUUGAUGGAACUUGUCCUAUCACACAAUGAGCAGGAACCACCAUCUUAAGUGGUAUCUCAGCCGCAGUUGAUCCAAGCACAGAAAUCGUCUACAGCAAGAACCCUAAUGCUGAUUUUUUCAAGUCCAACAACUUCUCUUAUGCCAUUGUUGUGGUCGGAGAGACUCCUUAUGCUGAGACAGCCGGAGAUAGUUUGAACCUGACCAUAGCUGAGCCAGGUCCGAGUACGAUCCUUAAUGUCUGCGGCAAUGUUAAAUGCGUUGUGGUCACAGUAUCUGGCCGUCCAAUCAUGAUUGAGCCCUAUGAGUCACAAAUCGAUGCUCUUGUUGCUGCUUGGUUGCCAGGCGCUGAAGGCUAAAGAGUAGCAGAUGUGCUUUUCAGGGAUUAUGGAUUUACUGGAAAGCUGCCCUGGACUUGGUUCAAGACCGUUGGUCAGCUCCCUAUGAAUGUUGGUGACUCUCAUUACGAUCCCCUCUUCCCCUAUGAUUUUGGACUCACUACUAAGCCUGUCAAUGCUAGCUAGGAAAUGUGCUUUUGAAGAACAAUAGGUUUCAACAUGUCAUGUAAUGUUACAUUGAUCAAGGCAAUUGUAGAAAGAUUUGUUUGGCUGUUACAUGAAUUAUAAAUAGCAUUAAAAACUAUAUUUACUAAGAAUCAAACUGAUCUUCGGUUACUCAAUCAGUUUUGAUUGAGAAGAGAAAAUUUCUCUUCAGUUACACAUUCAGCAGAGGAAAUCUCUCUAAUAGCAAUAUUAUCAGAACUAAAGUAAAUGGUCUUCUUUGGUAUCGCCACAGUAGCUUCAGGUAGUCUUUAGCUCUCUGGGCAGCUAGCACACAUUAAUUCUUGGAUUCCGCAUGUAAAUCUACAGUCAUCCUUUGAUUCAGCUACUAUCCCAUGCUGAAUUUCUUAACAUGCAGAAAAAAAAUCAAAAUAACUUCUUUAUAAACAAACAUUUGGAUUUGAGAUUCCUGUGAUUAGAUAAAUUCAUCAUUUAUGCUUCAAAGAUACAUCUAUUAACAGUUUUGAUAAGUCUUUCCCCAUAAUUGUAGAUUAUUUAUUAAUUGAUUCGUCCCUACACACACACACAUUACUCCUAGUAUGAGAACUGAGAAAUUAGACCAUAGAUAGAUUCAGGGGAGCCUGCCACUCAAAACCCUAAUAUCUGCAUUUUGCUGGUCUGUGAAGUCUGGGUACAUCUACACUGACAAGAGAGGGACUUGAUGGAGCCUGCCUCUAAAAAUCAAUCAUACUUUGGGAUUUAUUACUAAAAUUCAUACACAUUUCAGAAUUUAGUACAAGAAUUCAACCUCUUAACUUUUCUGGGACACUCUAGAACACGCUAGCUUGAUUAUCACGGAAGUUUAUUAUUUUUUCAUUUCUUUUGUGAUAGGGGGCAUGGUUUUAAAGCAUCAGCGAGAAAGGAUUUACAGUGAGUCAGAGCUGGCAAAAGCAACGAACAAUUAUGAUGAUAAUCAGAAACUUGGCCAAGGUGGUUUUGGCUGUAUACAAAGGAGUUUUACCAGAUUAUACCCAGAAGUUUAAGGGAGUAGACAAGGCUCAAAUGAACGAGGAAUUUCAGCAUGAAAUUGGCUACCAGUCAAUCGCAAGAAUGUAGUCAAAAGCUUUUCGGACUAUUUUUGCAGACCAAAGAGCCUUUACUAGUUUACAAAUUCAUCUCAAACGGAACCCCUUUUCAUCAUAUCCAUGAUAAAAGUCUCAAGUGUUGAGAUCUCGGACAAAACCGUUUGAGGGUAGCUGUUGAGACUGCACUUGCACUUAAUUAUUUGCGUUCUUUAGCAAACCCUCCAAUCGUUCACGGGGAUGUCAAGACAGUGAACAUACUUCCGGAGCUGAUUUUUGAGAUUCAGAGCUGAUUUCACCAAGUGAAGCUGAUAUAGCCACAAAAACAUAGGGGAAUUUUGGCUACCUGAAUAGUAAGUGUCUUAUGACAGGUAAUUUAACAGUAAAGAGUGAUGUCUUCAGCUUCGGAGUAGUUCUUGUGGAGCUUCUGACAGGACAGAAGCCAAACUCUAAUGCCUGGAGAGAACCGUAAAAUCAUUUUCAUCUCAUCGUUGGAAAACAAUCAUCUCCUUAAAAUUUUAGAUUUUGAGGUUGCUAAAGAAGAACCAGAGGAGAUAGAAAUGGUUGCUGAGCUUGCAAAAAGAUGUAGAAAUAGCGGUGUAAAAAGGCCAAGCUUGAAGUAUCUGAUGAGCUAUCUAGGCUAACAGCACUUCAUGAAUACUUGUGGGGUCAGAAAAAUAGUGAAGAGAUAUAAUCUUUGCCAGGCAAAUCAUCACUCUUCUCCAUGAGAAUGCAAGUCCUUCAAUAAGUGAACCUAAGACAGACAGUCAUUUCCUUAGAGAUUGAAAAUUUCCUUAUUGAAGUCCAGAAAGUCCGCUACAAUCACAAAGUCCAAAUUAAAUGCUACGUUGAAGUGGUCUAGCAUCGUCCUAAAUCACUAGGAUCAAAAUUAUAUCACAUCUCAGGAAUGGCCUUUCGGUCCAUAUUAAACUUGAACAGGAACAUCCGGCCACCAUAGGGUAUUUGCCAUAGCAGAAACAGAGUAGAGAUUGGGACUUUUACCCAUAAAUUAGCCUACAAGACAAAGACAAUAAUCCCAGCCUUUGGCGCCAUUAGCAACAAUCUGAGAGGGACUGUAACAAACCAGUUUCCAUUUUCCUUCAGUGGAUGACCCAGAAACUCAAGCAUUCAAAGAUGUCCCUUCUAGGCACACCAAGAUCACUCCAUUUCUUCUUGUGAUUUGCUAUAUUUUCCCAGGGUGAGAAGAGAAAUAAUAAGAUUAAGGAGAAAGUGAGCAAGAUUUAUAUAGAAGAAAAAACAGUGACAGCGAUAGCUUAAAGCAUUUCGCAAAACAAAUACCGAAACAAAUGGUCCUAAGUUUAUCCAAGAACAUUAGGAAAAAGAAAAGGAAAGGAAAAACUUACAGAGUCGAGACGCGUUUCUUAUUAAUGGAUCACCAAGUCUUGAAAGGGACCAAAGGUUCGACGUCAGAUGAUGAUAGAGCCUGAUCAACUUGAAAACUGCUGCAAGUAAUUGAUGUAGAAGCAUCAUCCCACGCACUGACUACUUCAGCCGUGAUGCUCUGAUCAGCUUCUUCGUUAUUUUGUUGAACGUCCUUCUUUUGUGACAAUGGAAUGAUCCUCUCCAACUCUGAUGUGACUUGUUUCAUUGUCGGUCGCUUUUUUCCGUUCAAAUUCAAGCAUCUCUCUGCAAUAUUAGCUACACCGAUGACAUCCUCCUUGGGGCAGUGCUCCUUAAUUUGAGCAUCAACAAUAUCAAAAAUUCUGUUCUCUUCCAUCAAAAGAACAAAAUGUGCAGCCAAGUUUGUGUGUUCUUGUGACUCGUUUGUAAGAAUUGCUUUUUGUCCAGUUAAGAGCUCAGCAAGAACUACUCCAAAACUAUAAACAUCACUCUUAUCUGUAAAUCGACUGGACCAAAAGUAUUCUGGGUCCAAGUAACCAAAGGUGCCUUGCACAUUAGUCGUCAAAUGAGUUUGAUCAACGGAGAGUGAUCUUGAAGUCCCGAAAUCGGCAAUCUUUGCUCGAUACUUGUGAUCUAAGAGUAUGUUGGUGGACUUUAUAUCUCGAUGAUAAAUUGGAAUGGAAGCUGCUGAGUGAAGAUAGGAAAGUGCUCCGGCAGUUUCAGCAGCAAUCUGUAAUCUCAUUUCCCAUGAUAAAGGGAACUCCUCAUUUUGGCGAUGGAGAUACUCGGAAAGAGUUCCAUUAGGAAUAAAUUCAUAAACUAAAAGAGGAACUUCUGCCUCCAAACAGCAACCAAGUAGCCUGACUAUAUUUCUUUGGUUGAUUUGUGAAAGAAUACAGACCUCGUUGAUGAAUCCUUCAAGGUUUUCUUCACUCACCAUUGUGGACCUUUUGACCGCAACAAUUACUCCAUCUGCUAGCAUCCCUUUGUACACGGUACCUUGGCCACCUUGACCAAGUAUCCUAUUCACAUUGAAACCAUCUGUGGCAGUUUCCAACUCCUCUGAGCUAAAUACUUUGGUUUUGGAAAUACCUUGAUCACUUGAGGAUAAUUGUUGCUGUAACAAGAGACCACCAUUCUGUCUGAAAAACUUCUGUUUCAGUUUGAUGCUCUUCCUUUUCUCCAUGAUUUUGUACAGCCACCAACCACCAAUGAGCAGUAACAACACUCCAACCACUCCAACAACAACUGCAUUUCUCAAAAAAAAAAGUUUAACGUUCACAUUUAACGUUCACAUUAAAAGUGUAUUUGGGAAGAUGGUAUAACCCGCAUUCCUUUUAAAUAAAAACAUCAGAAGCAAAAACUUUUAAUUUUGUUUUAGAAGAUCGGUUGUAAGAUCCAGAGACAUAAGGACUCAAGAAAAUUAGUGAGCCCAAAACAGUUCAUAAUCCAAGUAUGGGAAAUUUUUUUCUAAAAUAAAAAAAAUAUUAAAAAUUAUCUAGUAAAAUAAAAGGAAAACAAUGUUUAAACAAGAAGUGUGACUUUUGGAGUUUUUUUAUUUCUAAAACUCUACUAUUGAAGAUUUUUAUAUUUUGGAUAUUUUUUAAAAUAAAAAAUAAACUAGUUUUUUAAUUAGUCUAAUUUUAUAAUUGAAUUAUAUAUUUCGGUUCCGGUUUGAUUAUUUUUUUCUAAUCCAAAAGGCAAAGCCCUAGUAAAUGAUGCAGGUUGUUGAUAGCCUAACUUAUUGUUUUGGACUUUUGGGUGGAUUGAUGGCUUAAUUAAUAAAUUAAAUAUAGGAUAUUUGAAAAACAAGGAAUACCUAUCACUGCCACGUAUUGAAGUGGAUGCACAUUAAUUACCUGAAAUAAUAAUUGUGAUGAUGCCAAACCCACGGCAACCUCUUUUGCCAUCACCUCUCAUGCCAAGUGGACAUUUACAUUCGUAAUCCCCAAUGGUGUUAUGGCAUUUACCUUGACAUGGGUAUCUCUUGCCGGCAUCCUUGCACUCAUCGAUAUCUGUCAACAUGACAAAUUAUGAAUUGACCUUAAUUCAACACGAGUAAAAGUUCUAAGAAGUUCUGUGAAGUUGUUUUGUUUCAUAAUUUGCCAUGACUCUGGACUUUGAAGUUGUUUUGUUUCAAGGAUAUCUGAGAAGAGGAAUGAACAAUCUUAUAAUUUCAAUCACUUAGCUACUGAAGGCAUCUGUCACUUUACCUUGGCAUCCUUUUUCAAGAUAUGGGUUUCCUUCGAACCCUUCAUUGCAUGCGCAGCGAUAUCCUUGACCAUUAUCGGAGUAGUAGCAAUUUGUAUUGAUGCCACAAGCAUAUGAGCUCUUAUUGGCCCGAGCCUCUUCGCAUGUCUCGGUUUGAGCUACCCAUUCGAUCACAACAUUUGAUCUAUCAAAAUCUGUUGGAGUUCGAGAGAGUGGCCAAUCCGAGAGGUUGAAGGAGACUUUCUCCUGAAGGAAAGCAAAUCCACAAGGGUUAAAUUCGGAAACAGUCGUGUGGUUGCGAAGGCUCUGAACGGUAAUAUUCAGUGACUUGAGACCCUUGGGAAUCGAGGUCUGGCAGCAUCCAGAACCUGAGCAGGAAUUCUCCUUUGACAUGGUAGCAUUUACAGUACAUAAAGAGAGACAACCAACCCCGGAUGUCGCCUCCUUGUUGGUCCCCAUAGCAAUGGUAUCACAACCAACUGCUGUGAACAUAUUUCUUGACUCUGAAAUUGUGUAGGGGUCUAUAAGAUCCAUAGACAGAUUGUAAAGCCUCACCUGCUGCCCUGACUUGUCGUAGCAAUCAAAUGCUGGAACAAAGUCUAUAAUGACUGUGCCCUCCUCCACCGAUAUAUGGCGAGCAGGCACGAAUCCAAACCACAGUUCAUGAUGACCAUCAUCAGUUGAAGUGCAUCUUAGAAAGAAGUUAGAAUUCAUGGCACAUCUUUGUUCCCCAAUCCCAAACGGGUAAGGAACAAUAACAUCCCCACACCUUUCUUGGCAGCCAUCUUUCACAUCUGGAUUUGCUGUUGCUCCUGUUAUUGCAGCCACCACUAGUAGCAACAUCAUCGGCAAAAGACCCCACCUCUGAAGUAUCAUUUUCUAAGCACAACCCAACUUGAUAGAUGUAUAUAAAGCAGCUCCAAACGUUCUUUUUUUGUUCUUUUUUUCUUUUCAAUGAAUCAAGAAACUCGUUCAAGGAAGAAUUGUUACAAAAUGGGGCCACACCUAGAUAGGAGUCCCCCGUUGACCUUACCGGAUUCCAGAAUUACGGGGAUGUAUGAAACCCCAAUGAAACCAACCAUCUUAGCGAACUCCACCAAUUCUUUUUUUUAUAUAAAAAAGAAGUACUCCACCUAUUCUCUCAGCUACCAAAGAGAGAAAAAUAAACGCUGCCUUAAAAUAGUCGAGCAUUAUACUAAAUCACCGACAUCAAAAUUACUAAAUUCUAUCUUUCAUUAUCUCAGAAAUGGGAAAGAUUAGCGUUGACAGGGGAGCUUUGGCAGCAACUUUCGCAGGUCAUUUUCAGCUCUUGAUGUGCCUGCAAAUAUUGAAAUUAGCAUAGUUUUUAAAUCCGGGUCAAAGUCCAUGUCACGGGUUCUGCCAGGGUCAUCGGGUUUUGAUCGGGCCAGUACCCAAGUCAACCUCAAUUUUUUUUAUAAAUCAAAACAUCAUUUUGGUUAAAAAAACAAAUAGUCAACGGGUUGUAACCGGGCUUUUGAGCGGGUUUUGCUGAGUCACCCAGAUUUUUUACUUCUAUUAUUUUAUUUUAAACCCGGUACAGUUCCAACCCCGAGUCAGUCGGGUCCCGAGUCAACCCAUCGGGCCGGGCCGGGUUUUAAAACUAAGAAAAUUAGAAUGAAAUCUGUUUUUCAAAUUAUUUUUUGUUUGAAAAUAUAUAAAAAUAAUUUUUUUUAUUUUUUAAAAUUUAAUUUAAUAUCAACAUAUCAAAAUAAUUAAUUAUUUUUUAAAAAAAAAUCAUUAUGAAAAGAGAGAAAAUAAUUUUGUGUUUGGAUGAGAGAGAAUUUCUAAUCUAUUUUUAGUUUGAAUUUAUAAUACAUUAUAUAAGAGUGUAGUUUAGUUUUUUCAUUUAAUUUGAAAAUUUGAGUUGAUUAAAAAAUUUCAAAAUUCAAUAUGCUAAUAUAAUUUGAGUUGAACACCCAAAACAUAAUUUUUAAAAAUUCAAUAUGCUAAUAUAAAUUCAACCAAAUUAUACCAUUUUAAGGGUAAUUUUUCUAAUUUAAAAUUUGUAGUAAGAAACCAUCACCAUCGUUAUCAUCAUUAUUAUUAUUACUACUACUACUUCUAAUAUUGUUGUUAUUUUUAAAAGUUCCCUCUUAACUGCUUCCUUUUUGUUUCUUUUGAUUAAUUCUCUCAACUACCGCCUCUUUCUCUGAUGUAAAAAACAACAUAAUAUUUUAUUAAAAAUUAUAAAUUUAUUCACAAUUCUCAUAACAUAUAAUAAUAUAUAAUUAUAUCUAAUUAUCUUCUCAGCUCAUUCAACUCGAAGUCGAGCUUGUAAUAUCCAUGUAGGUUUGAGGAGAACUAAUAUCAUUCAAGCUUGUGGAUGAACUUGGGUAGCUCGUGGACCAGAUCUAGGUCGCUUGUGGACGGGCUAGCAUCCUCAACACCCCUAUGAUAAGCAAUCUCAUCUUUUGUUAAUAUUACUUCAAGACGCUUAACCUCCCCAACCUCUUGAAGUCCGCCACGAUAUAAAUUGAACAUGGUGUUAGCCAUAAUGCAUCUCAUCUCAUUGACAUCUUCACAGAUAAUCAUUGCUACUUUCCGAGCUUCAUGUACCAAGUAAUUAAUCUAUAUACAUACAUUAAAAAUCAAUUAGUAGUCAUCAUCCAUAAUAAAACUAUCCUGGUAUUUAAUAAAUAAAUAAAUAAAAUAUUGCAUAGUAAUUGAUUCUGUCUUGGAUACCGGGAAGCACAACGCAUCAGGUUGCAUGGACGUCUCGGGGAAAGCGAUUAGGCCGGUGUAAUAAAACUGUGUAAGGACAGAUACCAUAUCAUGUAGGUAUCUAUAUCAAUUGUAGGUUUCCGCUCCUAAAAAUCAUAAUCUCUCCUAGCAUCACAAAGAAUUACCAACCAUCUCCCUGUGCAGCUCGUCUCAUGUAUCAACAUAAUCUAAUCUAAUCCAUGCCUGUAUCAACAUAAUCAUCUGUGGUCGCAAGGGGCCAAUUCUUUUAAAAAUUCUGUCCUUUCAUUGUUUUUAUUCCUGUUGGAAAAUAUCUCAUCCUAAGUCAUGGUCUUCAUGACAUAGGAUGGGGUAUUUUCCUAUUGGAAAAUAUCACAUCCGCUUUCAUCUCUUUGAAAAACUGCAGUGCCAUGGACUUCAUGCUGCCCCUUCAUCAAGAACACAUGCUCGAGCAGUUCUUUGAAGGGGGAUGCGACUGUGAGAAAUGGAUUUUCGAGGAAUAUUACUUCCUAACCAAAGGAAAACUUGUGCGUGGAUUUUAAUUGGGAGAAAGCAUCUAGAAGCGUCAUGAAGGCUGAUAGAAAUCCAUUCAGCAACAGUGCCAAGAAAGAGAAUUUUUCCAAUAUUUAAAUAACAGAACAUAUUGAAAAACAUGGUUUGCAUACUUGCCUAGGUAAAAGAUCCGCUCAGCUGCAGAUCUCCAAGGUUUCCAUCAAUUUUGAUACUGAACUAGUUCCUAGGCUAAUAUUGAAGAGACAUGAGAAGCUGUGCUAAUAUAGCUCUGAGCUGUUUAACAUCUAUUUACAUUCUUAAGAUUCCAGCUAAGAAAAUAUAGUACAUGGUAACAGCAAACAAAUUUAUCACGGCAUCCUCGUAUAGAUCGAUUUAUCAGUCCUCCAUCAGACCAUCAGAGUUUGGCUGCACCAGCCAUAAAGAUGAAAUCAGAUCAUUUCAGUAAUGGUUCAUCACUGGAAAUCAAUUUCACCAAAUCCAAUAUCUCACUCAAUUGAAAAUAUCAAAUAAACAAGAAAAUGCUAGUGUUAAAAAUAUUCCGACCUUAUUCGACAUUAUGAGAUUGGUCGUGCUCGAUAAAAUCUAUCGCAUCUUCCUUGGAGACAACAUUGACACGGCUCACCCUGUUUUUGUGUGUCACCCCAUAUAACUUGUCAGCAACCUUCACAAGUUCUGGCCUGAAAGUGGUGGUUAUAAAUUGUGUGUUGGCCAUAUCAGCCAGGCGACGAAUCAUGUCUGGCGAACAAAGUAAUUAAGGAUCACCUCCAAUGGUUACAUCUGAUGAAUAAACAAUAGCUAAACAGCCAAAACAAGACCACAAAAUAGAAACCAUUAAAGCUUUAGGGAGAUGGCAAAACAACAACGUAGAAAUAGGAUACUUCCAACAGCAGUCCUGUACUGGGGAUCCAGUGCUGCGUCUAUCUCAUCAAAAAGAUAAAAAGGAGCAGGAUCACAUCGUUGGAUGGCAAAUAUCAAUGUCAGGGCUACUACAGUUUUCUGACCCCCUGAUAACUGCUUCAUUGAUUGUGUUUCCCCUUGCCCUGUAAAUGAAACCUACAUACCAAAACCAACUUGAGGAUAUUUAAAUUUGAGCAUGCCCAUAUUCUUGAGGAUAGAAGAUGCCGUAGGAAAAAUACUUCUGCUCACCCUAUUUACUAGAAGGCAAAUUCAAAUGAAAACAAGAUUUGCAUGCAUUUCGUGGAGUAUUGUUUUUAACAAGACUAGCUGAAUCCUAAUCUCACCACUUUUUCAAAGUCAAUAAACAGAAAGUGCACUCAAAGGCUAUUUACUAUCCAAUCCAUCCUUUUUGAAAAAAAAAAUUUACUGUAUCCUCAUUUCUUAAAAAAAUAAACACGUAUAAAUGAAAGAACAAACACGUACCUUCACUUUCACACCUAUGUAUUUCUCAACCCUUCCCUCCAAAUCUGCCUCACGAGGUCCGUCAUCAUCAUAAUCAUCAUCCCCAUGAUCACCAUCCUGUCAAGAUAUCACAAAUGCAAGCCAUGCCAUUUUUAAAAUGCACUCCUACAAUUAUCUCAAAAUAUCAACAUCAAAGACCAAGAAGAAUACUGAUUAAACUUGGAAAACAAUAAAAAAACACAAAUGAAGAAUACAAGUGCAUUGUAGAAGAAAAAAUUGAUUUUGACUAGUUAUUUUGUCAACAUUUAAAAAAAAUUCAUCAUCACAGCAGGACAAACAGUGCAAAAGUUAGAUUUUGAGCAAGAAAAAAUAUGCUUAUGGGACACUAAGAAAGGAAUGGAUUUAUAAAUUAUGAACCAGCAUAUUGAUUAGAGCAGUUAAUAAAAAGUGAAACAGUAGUUAGAGAUGGGAAAAAAAAUGAAACUAAGGCUUAAAACACUCCUUUAACUAACCUUUUUCUUCAUCAUGACCAGAUGACCAUGACCACCCUGCACAAGUUCAGAGAAUACUUCGCGAAAGUGUCGAGCAACACCCUUGAAAGUGCGUUCUAUUGAUUCAUCCUUCCGCUGAUCUAGAGCAGAUAUAAGUUCUCUUAUUUUCUGCAAAAAGGCAUUAAAGUAAAGAUACAGAAAUCAUGAACUCAUGUUAAAAACAGUAAGUACAAAAGAAGAGAUUUAAAUAUAAAAUUCCAUACAAUACCUCGUCACCUGCUUCCAGUUCAGCUUGCCUUUUCUGAAGUUCCUCCCGUUGCUCUGUGAAGUUUACAUAUUGAUCUAGUGCCUUCUUGUUUACAUGGCUGAACUGCUGAAGUUGCUCAUUGCACCUAUGAAGCAUUUUAUGCAAAUCUUUCACGCCUCUCCGCUUAUACCUAUACGCUCCAAUACAGGAGAGUAUGUCAUUUAUCAAAAGAAACAAUAUAUAAGUGGAAGCAUGCAAACAUUACCUGUUUCAACAGGUACCAGGUACAUGCCAAGGCAAGACAAAAAAAAAUCAUCUUCGAAGAUUUCAACAUGAAUAUUGGCAGGAAAAACAGGCAGAAUAAAUCAAUUAAAAAAACCUCAGGGGUCUCAGUUGAUUACAAGACAUGACAGUUUAACAAUACAAUAAAACCCAAGCACGAGAAAACUGAAGCUCAGAUUGAAGUCAUUAUCACAUGAAGAAACAAUGAGGAAAAUUUGAAGUUCAGAGAGAAGCUAUACGUUUCAAAAGCAUCUGAUGACAAAGGACCCAGUUCCCUAAUUUUGUUAGAGUAUUCCUCCUGUUUAGCAAGAAAAAUACUUCGUUUACUCAAUAGCUGUUCCAGUUCUUUUGCUUCAUCUUGAAGUGUUUUUUCAUAUCUGUCUUCCAAAACCUGUAAACACAAGUUGUCAUCUUAGCUGCUGCAACAAAUCCUAAAGAUCAACAGUCUGCAAAAGGUGGCAAACCUUUAGUUCUGUCUUUUUAUCUUUUUUCUCCUUUAGUUCCUCCUUUAGUCUAUCUAUCUUGUCAGAAACUCCUGAGAAGAGUAACCAGUCAAAAAAAAUUCUUCUUAUAUUUAAAUAUUUAAAUCGAAUUUUUAGAAACUCAUAGCUCACUUUUGAGUUCCAGUGUUGUGACUUCAGCCAGUGAUUUAGCAUCGUUCAGUUCCUGCCUCUUCAAUUCAUCUUCACCAUGUAACGUGUCAGAGUCAACCGUUGAUAUUAUGGCUUCCAACUCUUGCUUCCGUCGUUUCAGGUUAGUUGUAAGAUUAGUCUCUAGUUCCGCUUUUCUUGUUUCAGUCUAUGUAAUGAAAAAUGCACAUUCAUGUGAAACAGAACACAUUCCACAACGGACACUACAAUUACUACUAGACAAGGUUGAGAUUUCUAACCUCGAUGCGAUCUGUUCUGCAGGUAAUAAGCUUCUCUUUAAGGUCUUUUAUUUCAGGGUUGAGUUGGGAUAGUUCAUAUUUUUCCUCUGGUGUUAAGUGAUCAAUGAGCUCUGUGCCCAUCUCAGCUUGUUUCAUGACCAUACUGGCAUUAAGCUGUUCUAUUUGAUUCC
rnacentral:lncRNA from 1 species